rnacentral:rRNA from 1 species
UGAGGAAUAUUGGUCAAUGGGCGAGAGCCUGAACCAGCCAAGUAGCGUGCAGGAUGACGGCCCUAUGGGUUGUAAACUGCUUUUAUGCGGGGAUAAAGUGCGUGACGUGUCAUGCAUUGCAGGUACCGCAUGAAUAAGGACCGGCUAAUUCCGUGCCAGCAGCCGCGGUAAUACGGAAGGUCCGGGCGUUAUCCGGAUUUAUUGGGUUUAAAGGGAGCGUAGGCCGCCAGGUAAGCGUGUUGUGAAAUGUACCGGCUCAACCGGUGAAUUGCAGCGCGAACUGUCUGGCUUGAGUGCACGGUAAGCAGGCGGAAUUCAUGGUGUAGCGGUGAAAUGCUUAGAUAUCAUGAAGAACUCCGAUUGCGAAGGCAGCUUGCUGCAGUGCGACUGACGCUGAUGCUCGAAGGUGCGGGUAUCAAACAGG